ACGAGAUAUGGGUAUUUCGGUAAUUAACAAACAUCUACCAAAAUGAAUAUGAUUAAUUAUUGGGUUUGAAUGGUUCAAGAAAGGUGUACUGAAAUAAAAUCAUAAACUAUUCUUUAUAUCUCGCGAAAUCAUGAAAUUCCUAAGUCGUCUGAUGACGUAUCGAGGUUGACUACGUCACACCGGCGCUUGCAGCUGUGAUCAGAAUAAACAUGUGGACUUCAGUGAUAUAUCUCGGAAUUUAACUCGUUUACAACCAGCGUGGACAGAAAUCGGCAUAGGAUUCAACUGAACAAGGGUUACUUAGGCAGUAGAUGGUCCACUGAAAACACUUCUUGGGAUGUUGAUGAAAAGUAUUGGUUUUCUUAUCAACUGGACUACCUCCUAAUAUCAAAAAGACAGAAGAGAAGAACAUUUAGUGUGCAAGAAGAAUUUUCAAUUUCCAUAAAUUACACAUUAUGACUGAAAAAUACUAAAAAUCAGAAAACACUAGUCUUGUU